rnacentral:rRNA from 1 species
AUUGAACGCUGGCGGCAUGCUUUACACAUGCAAGUCGAACGGCAGCGCGGGGCAACCUGGCGGCGAGUGGCGAACGGGUGAGUAAUACAUCGGAACGUACCCAGAAGUGGGGGAUAACGUAGCGAAAGUUACGCUAAUACCGCAUACGUUCUACGGAAGAAAGUGGGGGACCUUCGGGCCUCAUGCUUUUGGAGCGGCCAAUGUCUGAUUAGCUAGUUGGUGAGGUAAAGGCUCACCAAGGCGACGAUCAGUAGCUGGUCUGAGAGGACGACCAGCCACACUGGGACUGAGACACGGCACAGACUCCUACGGGAGGCAGCAGUGGGGAAUUUUGGACAAUGGGCGCAAGCCUGAUCCAGCAAUGCCGCGUGAGUGAAGAAGGCCUUCGGGUUGUAAAGCUCUUUUGUCAGGGAAGAAACGGCUGAGGUUAAUACCUUCGGCUAAUGACGGUACCUGAAGAAUAAGCACCGGCUAACUACGUGCCAGCCGCCGCAGUAA